GAUGAAGAACGUAGCGAAAUGCGAUAAGUAAUGUGAAUUGCAGAAUUCCGUGAAUCAUCGAAUCUUUGAACGCACAUUGCGCCCGCCAGUAUUCUGGCGGGCAUGCCUGUUCGAGCGUCAUUUCAACCAUCAAGCCCCCGGGCUUGUGUUGGGGACCUGCGGCUGCCGCAGGCCCUGAAAAGCAGUGGCGGGCUCGCUGUCACACCGAGCGUAGUAGAUUUUAUCUCGCUCUGGGCGUGCUGCGGGUUCCGGCCGUUAAACCACCCUUUUAACCCAAGGUUGACCUCGGAUCAGGUAGGAAGACCCGCUGAACUUAAGCAUAUCAAUAAGCGGAGGA
rnacentral:misc_RNA from 1 species